CAAGUCCCCACCACCUCCAACUCCUGUUUACAAGUCGCCACCACCACCUAAGACGCCACACUACCCUCCACAUACCCCAGUUUAUAAGUCUCCUCCUCCACGCCAUCAUCACCCCGUUUACAAGUCUCCACCACCUCCAACUCCUGUUUACAAAUCACCACCACCACCCAAGGACCCACACUACCCUCCACACACCCCAAUUUACAAGUCACCACCACCACCCAAAGAACCACACUACCCACCACAUACCCCAGUGUACAAGUCUCCACCACCACCAACUCCAGUAUACAAGUCACCACCACCACCCAAGAGGCCAUACCAUCCUCCACCAACACCAUAUCAUCCCACACCAGUUUAUAAGUCUCCACCACCACCAACUCCAGUGUACAAGUCACCACCACCCCCAACUCCCGUUUACAAAUCACCACCACCACCAGUGAAGCCAUACCAUCCCGCACCAGUAUACAAGUCUCCACCACCCCCAACUCCCAUUUACAAAUCACCACCACCACCAGUGAAGCCAUACCAUCCUAAACCUGUGUACAAGUCUCCACCACCACCAGUGAAGCCAUAUCAUCCUACACCCGUCUACAAGUCUCCACCACCACCAACUCCCGUCUACAAGUCACCACCACCACCAGUGAAGCCAUACCAUCCUACACCCGUCUACAAGUCUCCACCACCACCAACUCCCGUCUACAAGUCGCCACCACCACCAGUGAAGCCAUACCAUCCUACACCCGUAUACAAGUCUCCACCACCACCAACUCCCGUUUACAAGUCACCACCACCACCAGUGAAGCCAUAUCAUCCCUCACCAACACCAUACCACCCUACACCAGUAUACAAGUCUCCACCACCACCAACUCCCGUUUACAAGUCCCCACCACCACCAGUAAAGCCAUACCACCCUUCACCAACACCAUACCAUCCUAAACCAGUAUACAAGUCUCCACCACCACCAACUCCAGUCUACAAGUCUCCACCACCAACCCACUAUGUUUACUCCUCUCCCCCUCCUCCCUACCAUUACUAAGAAGUGAGUUUACUAUAUCUGAGGUAAUUAAGAUGAACUUAAACCUUUACAAACAUAUAUAACUAAAAUGCAAUGCAAUAAUAAGUUGCACAAUUAUUUCUUCUCUUUUGGUUAGUUUCUUUUAUAUGUUCUCAUUCACAAUAUUAUAUUGUUAUGCAGGAAAAGCAUAAUGUUGAGCUGAAAGAAAGGCAUUUUCCAUUUUCAAGAAGAAAAUUAUAGUAAAUAAUAAGGCUUACAGAAGAUCAGACGAAGUUCUUUUGUAGCUUCAUGUUAUCUAACUUGUCUUAGUGAUAUAUUGUUUUUGUACUCUAUUUUUAUAUAUUACUUUUAUGUGUCUUUGUGUAUGUUUGCUCACUUUCAAUCUUCUUGCAAAAUGCAGAGAUUAAUUAUGAGAUUAUCAUGAAUAAAAUAAGUUAUUACUACUCCCAUAUGUUUUAAUUAACUUCUCAUCACAAUAUAUAUUACCUUUGUUUUCAUUUUAUCAUGUGCUCAUAUUUAAUUUAUAAAAUUAUAAUGUGAACACAACAUUUACAAUUUUUUUCAAAUAGAACUAUUUAUAUAUAUAUAUAUAUAUAUAUAUAUAUAUAUAUAUAUAUAUAACAGGAUGCUCAAAUUAAUAACCAACGAAUUUCAUGUACUUAUGGUUAUAAUUCAAUCAAAUUCGAGUAUUGUAGUCCAUUUACGAUAACAAAAUAAAAAAAUUAUUUAAUAAUCACAUAAUACGUUGUUAAACUUUUGUAAAGUAUAUGAUUUCAGAAGCUCAAACAAAAAAUUACAAUCCAAAUAUUUUAAAAAUAAUAGUUUAAAAUUUUCACGCAUCACAUAAAUAUAUAUACUUACUCCAAGCCUAUCCUAUCCGAAAUUUUCAGCUAUUGAUGUAGCCUCUUGUCGAUACUACUAGUCUUCUCGCUACCUACUAGAAAAAUUCCAUCAAAAUAGAUUGAAUCGACGACCUAUACUUCAACUAAAGGCACGAGGGCGUAGCGAGCUUAACUAUUAUCGUAAUAUAAGAUGAAAUCCACCCAUUUUGAUAUCACAUACACGUCUUUAAAACUGAUAAAAUAAUGAGGUCUACUCUUAGUCAAAAUUAAAUGAUUGUAGACCACAUCUACAGUUCCCAAUUGUCAACAAUUCGAUCCUCCGCGUUUGUGGUAGGUUUCACUUUCAUUUCUUCGGUUCGAUUUUAUCAAAUUUUAAUUUGAUUCUUUAAUUUUUAAUUUUGGAAAAAUGUGUAUGGAAUGUUGAAUCGAAUUAAUUUGUUUAAUUAUCUUUUUAAAAAAUUAGUUUAAAACAAAAAUUGAAUUUCAAUAAAAUUUAAUGAAAAAAUUAUUCAAAUUGAUUAGGUAACCUUUUAAGUCAAAUAUCAAUAGUUGAAUAAUUUUAUAGGUAAAAUAUUCAUAAUUGAGUGACUUUGAGAUCAUACAAGAAAAUUGAGUGACUUUAUAAGAGAAAAAAUCUUAGUUAAAAUAAUUUUUUAUGAGAAAAAAUUCUUAAGUAACUUUAUGGCAUUAUAAAAAAAAAUUAACUCCUCUUUAAAUUAGAAUUACAAAAUUAAAAGUAAGUUCCAUUUUAAAGAUAAGGACAUUAUUAGUAAAAAUAAUUGGUGAACAUUUUCCAAUGAAAAAAUAAUAUUUUUCUAAAAUAGCUAAUAGAUGAUAAUUCGUUUCUUAGGCGUAAAAAUGUUAGGACAUGUUAGCCUCACUCAGUUGAAUAAAUUGCUCACCAAGAACAUAAUCAUUGAAUAUCCUAAAACAAAGUUUAAAAAUGAAUUAAAAAAAAAAUCAGUAAUAAAAAAAUACAUGCAAACUAUCUACAAAUGUAUUAUUAUUAAUUUUUAAAUAAAAAAGAGUAAAUGAAAGAGAAUAGAAGAUCUUUGACUUGUUAAUUAAGACAAAUAUUUGUCUAAUAUAAGUAUGUCGGUAAUAACAAUGUAGACUAAGAUCUGUACUUGUUUAUAUAUCCAUAUCCCUUAAUGUUAGGACCAUUAAAAUUAUUAAUUUAGUUUAACUAAUUAAUGGGAUCUUAUAAAUACAUUAAUAAUAUUACUGUUGUCGGUGAUUAAGUUAAUGCUAAUACUUAAUUGUUUUUUUUUUCCAAUUAAAAUGUCAAAGUCGUUAGAUGAACCAAAAUGGAAUCGUCCAUGAAGAUGGUACCAGAGUACAAUUAUUGAAUAAUAUCUUUUUUUUUUAACUUCAAAAAUUAAAGUGGAAUUCAAUUACCUACUUUAUAAAUGUAUGGCAACUUGGCAAUAAUUCAUUAAAUUUCAGGAAGAACAAAAACCAUCGAUAAUUGAGAUUAAUUUAAGAGAUAAAUGUCAAAAACACAUUUAAUAUAUUACAUAUUUUAAAAAAAUUCAUACUUCACCCCGUCUCUUUUCGAAAAAAUUGAUAUUAUUUUAUUUUUUUAAAAAUAGGAAUUCUAUCCAUCCUAUAUAACCUCCUGUACCUAAUUUUUUUAUAUAUAUUUUUGUGAGUUUGUAUUAGAUAUGUACAUAUAUUUUUAGGAAUUCUUUCUACUUGUGUACCAAAUAUAAAGUAAAUAAAACAUUUAUUUUUUAAAAAAGUCUUGAGGCCGUGGCAAAUAAAAAUUAUUUUCAAUAUGUUUAUAUCUAACACAAAAGGAGAAAAAGUUCGAAAGCGGACGGUUAGGUGGGGUAGGUAUAUUUUUUUUAAAGCAAAUUAGUAUAUAUAUUUUUUUGUGUGUGUGGGGUUGGGGGGGGGGGGGGGGUAAAAAAAAGUUAAAUACCUUUACAAAAGAAAUUUAAACAAAAAAAACUAAAAAAAAAAAGGGUGGGGGGAGGGUUGGACGGUUAGAGAAAGUGAUGGAGUGGGUAGGGAGGCGAGCAAAAUUGGGAGGGAGACGAGCAAACUUUGUACGUAUCGUAACCCAGAACAUGUGAAUCAAGCAAGAUACACACUAGGUACAUGUAUUUGUACGUGUCUAGAGGAAUUCACAUAUAUCUGGGAUAUCAUAUUCUUGGAAGAAUGACGAGCAAAAUGGAACAGAGGCAAGGAAGGAAAACGAGAUAUACUAUGUAUCCCAAAUACAUGCGAAUUCAAUAAAUAUAAUGUAUCUAGAACAAAUUACACCUAAAUUUGAUCGAGAUAUUCGAGAUACAUGUAUCUCAAGGCACCAAAAUCUGAUUUUUAUAUAUAUAUAUAUAUAUAUGAAAGUUUAUGUGAUCGAUAAAACUAAUAGCUUAGUAUUUCAAUGGUAUCAUUUCUACACAAAAUAGUUCUACCUCAAUUUAUGACAAAAAUGAUUUUAUUUAUAUGAGAUCAAAUUUAUAGGGUUUCGAUGACCAUGAUAAAACAGGAGAAUGUACAAAAAUACUUAAGUCCUUGUUUAUAAUAUACCAUUUUGCCAAAAUAUUUGUAGCUCGAUUAACUUUCUUAUAGAAAUGUUGAACCUUUCAAAUAAUAGUGCUUGAUAUAAUGAUAUAUUGUAAAUAUGAAAAGUGAUGUUUUUCAUUUUCCAAAGAAUACCACUAAAAUAGUUCUUUCUAACAUCAUGUAUAAAUUUUUAUGCAAGUAAAACAUUUUAAAUAAUAAUCUACGAAACUUGUUAUUUGAUCCUCAUAGAUAUUAUAACAUUUAGUUUUAGUGCUUAUGAAAAUAAUUUUGUUAGAACAAUAUUUCCAUUAUACGUAUAAAAAGUUCACAUUGUUCUUUGUUUUUAAAGAUACAAUAUCCUAAUUAUUUCAUUGUUAUUCCAUCUCUAUUAUUCAUUGAGCAUAAUUUGAAUAAUUUAUUUUUAUCAUAUUAUUACCAAUAUAAUCAUAGAAAGUCAAAUAAGAAAACUAAUUUUCCUUGUUACUAUUUCUUUGAUUAAUUGGAAUUAGAGACGACUAGUUAUUAUUAUGAGCAACUUUCACAUAUAGCAAACAAAAAAUUUAUAUUUGUAUGCUAAUUAAGCUCCAUAGCAAACAUAAAACUGUAUAAUUUGCUAUACAUAUACAAUUGUAUAAUUCGCUGGCCUAUUUCGCUGCAAUAGUAUAAUUUGUUUUGCAUACAGUUGAAUCGAAUUAAAAUGUAUGUAUAUUGCAUAAUUAUAAGUGUAUAGCAAGAAGAUAUAUGUUUUUCUCGCUUUAUACAAAAACAGAAACACAAUAUAUACACUUUUGUUGUAUAAAGCUAGAGAAAAUUGUAUUUCACUGCAAUUGUAUAAUUCGCAAUUGUAUAAUUCGUUGGCCUUUUUCUCUGCAAUAUUUGAAGUAAAAUGUUUGCAAAUUGUGUAAUUAAGUGUAUAACAUGAAGAUAUACAUUUUUGCAUGUGUAUAUACAAUUUUCUCUCGCUUUAUACAAAACAGAAACAGAAUUAUACACUUCUGUGUAUAAAGCGGGAGAGGCGAGCGAGAAUGGAGAGUGGCGAGCGAGAUUUUUGGGAGAGAGACGCUGGCAAAUUUUAGCUAAUGUUUGCUAUGGAGCAAAAUUAAAUCAAAUCCUAGCUAUUCCAUUUAAUUUAGGUUAUUAGUUUGCUAUUAUAUACAAUUUUUUCUAUUAUUAUUAAUCGGAUGCAUUUCACUCCGCACAUAAAUAACUUCCAAUAAUUUAAUAUUAAUUAUAUAUGCUCUAUUAAAUAAUUUUUAAAUAUAAAAUAAUAUUAUGGUAGAUUUGGGGGUGUCAAAAUCAAGUCAAUUUGUCAAACUCCCCUAUUCCAUUUAAUUUAUCAACUUUAACUCAUCUCAACCUAAUUUAGUUUAAUUCAUAUUUAAACAGUGAAUUGAUAUAUAAUUCAAAUUAGCUUAUCAAAAUAUUUUUAAAAUAAUAUUUUUAAAAUUUGAUAUGUUAUAUAUAGUCGUAAUAAAGAAAAAAAUAAACUUAUUAGGUGCUAAAAAAUUUUAAAAAGAGCAAACUAAACAACUAAAUUUUAGUAAAAAUUGAAGGGGUUAUAUUAGAAAUCGAAUUUAACUUAAUUAUGUCCAAUUCAUUUCAAUUCAAAUAGACAAUAGCUAAUGAUCCAUUCAUUUGUUAACUCAUUAAAAUUCAAUCGGUUCAAAUUCAGGUCAACUCUCCUAUACCAAACUUCUAGUAGAUCUUAAUCAAUAAAAAUUUGGACACGAAAACAAUUCAUUCAUUUCAUCCAUCAAAUUAUUAAUAAGUGACACCAUCUUAGCGACCCAGUUCAUUGUAUUAUAUUAAGAAAAAAUAACUUAAAUACACAAUUAUAAGUUUUAUAUUUUCUAAUUUUCCCUUCUUUUUUUUAAAUAUUACAUAAUUUCCUUUUUUUAAAAUUUUAGUGUAAGUUUAUAGAUACAUUACAUUCUCUCUCCUAUAGUACACAAUUACCCAUUUUAAUGCCUAUUUAUUCUCCAUUAAAACACUCAACCUUUUAAAUAAAAGACCUAAUUUUGAAUUUCAAAAUUCAAAAAAUUUCAAAUUUCAAAAAUCAGGUUCUCCCGUUUUUCUUACUCCAUCAAGUUUCACUUCCUUUUUUUCCAUAAUCAUCUUCCUUCUUCUUAACCUAGCAGAAUUUAUUGGUUUCUUCUUUUUAUUCUUAAUCCAUCAUCUUUUUCUUCUUAAUCUGUAAUCGUCUUAACCCAAUAUCUUUUUAUUAUUAAUCCAUCAUCAGUUCGUCUUUUCUUCUCUUUUUUCUUUUUGUUAAUUGUUCUAUUACAUUAUAGUAAUGGAUCCGUUAAUUAAUAGAAGGAUAUAUGAUUCCGACGAUGAAAAUUGGAAAGAAAAUAGGAAAAAGUUUUUGCAUGAUCCUAUGAAUCUUCAGAAGGAUUCAAACAAAGACUCUGGCGAAACAUCAAAAUCAAAGGUUAUCAAAAUACAACAAAAAAAGAAAAAAGAAGCAGCAAACAUUGUUGUUAGGCCUACAUUGUCUCGGGUUAGUAUUUUGGUACUUAAAACUGUUGUUGAAAUUAGUAAAAAUUUUAAGGAAUCUAGUGUGCUUGCCGAUACAUUUGAAUAAGUGUGUAUAGUGUUUUAGAGGUGAAUUGAUACAUGAAUUUAUUGUGUAUCAUAAUAUUUUAUAUGUAUCAUGAAGUUUUGAAAAUUGUUAUAAUGUAUCAUUCAAUAAGUUUAGUAAAUACGUCAUCAACUGUGCUUGAUGAUACAUAUAGAAUCAGUGUGUACGGUGUUUAGUCAAUUCACUGAUACAUGUAGGAGAUAUGUAUCACAUGUUUUGCAUAUAGUAUGAAUUUCUGAAAACUGAUAUCAUGUAUCAGUAAGGUAUUAGUUGUUUAGUUGAUGUACUGAUACAUGUUUGAAAAUUGUUAUAAUGUAUCAUUCACUAAGUUUAAUAAAUGCGUCAUCAACUGUACUUGAUGAUACAUAUAGAAUCAGUGUGUAUAUUGUUUAGUCGAUGUUUCUGAUACAUGCAUUAGAUACGAAAUUGAAUCUCCAACAACGAUUCCGUCGAUUUUGUAACUUUCAUACUGCAAUUCGUUCACCUAAAUUCCGGAAUGUCUCAUCAAAAUCGAAGUAUUCAUCUUGAAAAAUCCACUGUAACAACAAUAAAAUUACUGUAGUUCGAAAUUUAACAGAUUGUUCAAAAAAAUUGUUUUCAAAAUAGAUGACAUAAUCUUUGUUUUUCAAAAUUUGAAAUUAAUAUCCAAUUAAGUGCUUAUUUUAUGCUGAUUAAUGAUAUGUUACCGUAAAUUUAGCUGUUUUAUUAACAACAUUAACUGUACCGUUUUCCCCCUUUUUUUUCUCAACAGUUUAAAAUUACCAUGUAUCAUUUACCUUGUAUCACGAGAGUCUAAAGUAUCACGGCUCAACAAAUUUAAGAGAUUUUUUGUAAAUACUAAAUUUGUCUGGACAAAAUGAAAUUAUUGAAUUACACUAUAGGAUUCCUUAAAUUUUUACUUAUAUUAAUCUUUAGUAUGGGGACCUAAAUAUUUAACUUUCCAAUUCCUUUAGGGGUCAAUUUGAUUGAUUAUAAUGAGUGAAUUAUACUAUAAAAAUUGAAAUAAUAAUUAAUGUUUGUAGAGCAUAUUAAAUUAUUUUAUCAUGACUACAGUUGGUGUUAAUUGAAUUGGAAAUAAGAUAUAUACGGUAUAUAAUAUAUAUAGAAAUUUUAAUUUGAUUCGUUGAUUUUGUAUUUUCAGACAAAUUUUAUUUUUAAUUUUACCUUUCUUAAAGAACUUUUAGUUUGGUUGUUUUAUCAUGGAAUUAGCUAAUUAUUAAUCUAGAGAAUUGCUAUUCCAUAUACAACUUUGGUACAAUUAGAGAAUUAUAAUAUAAUUAAUUUCAAAAUUACUUAUAUUUAGGAACAAAAGUUUCAAUCAAACGAUAAAUAAUUGAAUAUUUUAUCUCAGAAUUAGUAUUAUUAUUAUUAAUACUAAUUAACGAUCCUAAGUUUCGAUUUUGUCACUCCGGUCCUUUUCUUUUAAUCUUUUCACAAACCAACUACAUUUGAUUGCAUUAACUAUAAAGUCCAUUUGCAUUAUUUUACAUAUCAAUUAAUAUUACUAAACUAAAUUUAUCUAUAAUUACUGAUUUAAAUGUAUACCUAUUUUCUCACCAACAUGGCAUAUAUAUUAGACUCAUUAAAAUUAAACGUUGCUUCAUGUGGUGUGUUCAAUUGGUUAGACUAUCUCGUCAAAUAUAUUGUUCGCAAAUAAACAAUGCUCAAAUGAAUGAUAUUAAUGUUGUUGGUGAAUAUUACAAGCUUCUCGUAACGUUUUGUUAGCUUACGUAUGAAUGUGCAAUAUUAUUUCUACUUAUUUUGUCAAACACUAAAAAAGUAAGUAAAAAACUUGUUUAUGUGAGAUAAUAUUUUUCUUUGUACCUAAAAAGUGCAUUAAUUUAUAUAGCUAAAAUAGUGCAAAGUUGAGGCCUCCACGCAUUAUUUUUGGUGAGAAGAAGAAUGAGAAGACUUUCUAUCUCUUUGAAUUAUUGCAUCACAAACAGUAUAGCUGCCUUAAUAGUUUAUUCAUUUGCUUAGCUUAAUGCCUCUAUCCAUCAAAUUAAAUAUACAACUAACAAGACAAAACCAAAUGAAAAUGCAUAACUCUAGGAUUUUACCUACAUUUGUAUAAAUUUUGGUAAGGGUAUCUGUCUAAAUGAAAACUAUAUAAAGGGGUUUGAGUGAAGCUUAAGAUGACAACAACUUUCUCCUUUGUUUCGAAUAUGGGGAAAAUGGCCUUUCUAGUUGCCACCCUUUUAGUGGUUUUAGUGUCACUUAGCUUAGCAUCUGAAAUUUCAGCUAAUUAUCAAUACUCAUCUCCCCCACCACCAAAGGAGCCAUACCACCCUUCACCAACACCAUAUCAUCCCACACCAGUUUACAAUUCUCCACCACCACCAAAAGAGCCAUACUACCCUCCACACACUCCAGUGUACAAGUCGCCACCACCCUCGACACCUAUUUACAAGUCGCCACCACCACCCAAAGAGCCAUACUACCCUCCACACACCCCUGCCUACAAGUCACCACCUCCACCAACUCCAGUUUACAGGUCGCCACCACCUCCCAAGGAGCCAUACUAUCCUCCACACACACCAACCUACAAGUCGCCACCUCCACCAACUCCCGUUUACAAGUCACCACCACCUCCAAAGGAACCAUACUACCCUCCACAUGCACCAACCUACAAGUCGCCACCACCUCCCAAGGAGCCAUACUACCCUCCCCACACCCCAACCUACAAGUCCUCACCUCCACCAACUCCGUUUUACAAUUCACCACCACCUCCCAAGGAACCAUACUACCCUCCUCACACACCAACCUACAAGUCGCCACCCCCACACAAGGAUCCAUACUACCCUCCACACACACCAACCUAUAAGUCACCACCUCUACCAACUCCUGUUUACAAGUUGCCACAACCACCCAAGGAGCCAUAUUACCCUCCACACACACCAACCUACAAGUCACCACCUCCACCAACUCCCAUUUACAAGUCACCACCACCUCCCAAGGAGCCAUACUACCCUCCACACACACCAACCUACAAGUUACCACCUCCACCAACUCCCGUUUAUAAGUCGUCGCCACCACCAUCCAAAGAGCCAUACUACCCUCCACACACACCAACCUACAAGUCACCACCUCCACCACCUCCCGUUUAUAAGUCUCCACCACCACCCAAGGAGCCAUACUACCCUCCACACACACCGACCUACAAGUCACCACCUCCACCAACUCCCGUUUACAAGUCCCCACCACCUCCUAAGGAGCCAUACUACCCUCCACACACACCGACCUACAAGUCACCACCUCCACCAACUCCCGUUUACAAGUCCCCACCACCUCCUAAGGAGCCAUACUACCCUCCACACACACCAACCUACAAGUCACAACCUCCACUAACUCCCGUUUAUAAGUCGUCGCCACCACCACCCAAGGAGCCAUACUACCCUCCACACACACUAACCUACAAGUCACCACCUCCACCAACUCCUGUUUAUAAGUCGCCACCACCACCCAAGGAUCCAUACUACCCUCCAAACACCCCAACUUACAAGUCGCCACCUCCACCAACUCUCAUUUACAAGGUUCCACCACCAGCCAAGGAGCCAUACUACCCUCCACACACACCGACCUACAAGUCACCACCUCCACCGACUCCCCUUUAUAAGUCCCCACCACCUCCUAAGGAGCCAUACUACCCUCCACACACACCAACCUACAAGUCACCACCUCCACCAACUCCCGUUUAUAAGUCGUCGCCACCACUACCCAAGGAGCCAUACUACCCUUCACACACACCAACCUACAAGUCACCACCUCCACCAACUCCCGUUUAUAAGUCUCCACCACCAACCAAGGAUCCAUACUACCCUCCACACGCCCCAACCUACAAGUCGCCACCUCCACCACCUCCCACUUACAAGUCGCCACCACCACCAAAGGAGCCAUACUACCCUCCACACACACCAACCUACAAGUCAUCACCUCCACCAACUCUCAUUUAUAAGUUGUUGCCACCACCACCCAAAGAGCCGUACUACCCUCCACACACACCAACCUACAAGUCACCACGUCCACCAACUCCCAUUUAUAAGUCGUCGCCGCCGCCACCCAAGGAGCCAUACUACCCUCCACACACACCAACCUACAAGUCACCACCUCCACCAACUCCCGUUUAUAAGUCGCCACCACCACCCAAGGAUCCAUACUACCCUCCACACACCCCAACCUACAAGUCGCCACCUCCACCAACUCCCGUUUACAAGUCGCCACCACCACCCAAGGAGCCAUACUACCCUCCUCACACACCAACCUAUAAGUCACCACCUCCACCAAGUCCCGUUUACAAGUCGCCACCACCACCCAAGGAUCCAUACUAUCCUCCACACACCCCAACCUACAAGUCGCCACCUCCACCAACUCCCGUUUACAAGUCGCCACCACCACCCAAGGAGCCAUACUACCCUCCUCACACACCAACCUAUAAGUCACCACCUCCACCAAGUCCCGUUUACAAGUCGCCACCACCACCCAAGGAGCCAGACUACCCUCCACACACCCCAUCCUACAAGUUACCACCUCCACCAAUUCCCAUUUACAAGUCGCCACCACCACCAACUCCUGCCUACAACUCUCCUCCACCACCUUACUAUCUUUACACCUCUCCCCCUCCUCCCUACCAUUACUAAAAAGCCACUUCAUUAUAUCGAGGUAAUUAAGACAAACUAAAACUAUUACUAAUGAUGUGUCUAAAAUGCAAAGCAAUAAGUUGCUCAAUUUCCUCAUGCAAAUCAUUAAUAUAUAGACCUAUGCAGUCUAUAUUCUUAUUUGGAUAACUUUAAUUACAUGUUCUCAUUCACAAAAUUAUAUUCUUAUGCAGGAAAAGCAAAAUGUUGAGCUUAAAGAAAGGCAUUUUACAUUUUCGAGAGACGAUGAAAAAAGAAGAAAACUAUAGUAAAUAAUAAGCCCCACAUAAGUCGAAGUUCUUUUGUAGCUUCAUGUUAUCUAAGCUAGUGAUACUGUUUGUACUCUAUUAUUUAUAUUUGUAUUUUUACUUUUAUGUCUUUCUGUAUGUUUGCUCAGUUUUAAUAUCCUAGCAAAAUGCAAAGAUUAAUUAUGAGAUGAAUAAAAUAAGUUAUUACUAUUAUACAGUUUUAUGUUUUCCUUCUCUCUGAUCUAUUCGAUCUUAAUUAGUCCUUUUUUUGGUCUUAUUUCUUCAUCUUUAUAUCGAAGGCGAGGCUCAACGAUUACAUUAAAUCAAUCAUCAUACAGAUAAAAUUGAUGACAAAUUUAACGUUAAGAUAUCAUCAAAAUCUCAAUAACAAUUUACAGAUCGAAAUCUUAGUAUCGAUUGAUUAAUAACCUAAACUUUCGCCAUGAAGACUUGAAUCCCUAAUCCCGUCCUUCAUUUCCCAUAUCUCUACCCACACAUUAUCUUUUAAGAAAGAAGAAGUAACAACCAAAAUAAACAUUAUAUCUAAAGUGAUAAUAUGAUAACAAUACAAAUAGGCAACAAUACAAUUAAAGAAAAAAAAAAAAGUUACUCCCACGAUGUCAACACGUAUGCUAGACUGACCAAUAAAGUUAGACAAAUUUCAAAAUUGACAAUAGCAAAGUAUACGUACGUAGCAUAUAGCAACCAAUCAAUGAAUAAAUUAUUCCUAAAGUAGUCAUUAUCAUCUCAUAUACUAUAUUUGGUAAAAUACUAAGAUUAAGUCAACAUAAUUCAGUCUACCGUUUGGUAAUUUAUAACAAAUAGUGACAAUAUUAAUAAAGUGAUUGGUGCUCUCUUUUGGCCCACCCCCAAGAAGAUCGUGAACGCAUAUUUUAAAUUUGAUUUGAUUACCACUUUUUAAUAUCUUUAAAAUAAAACUUGUAUAUUUAAAAAAUUAAAAAUUAUUAUUAUUAUUUAAUUAUAUAAAUAAAAUAUUUUAAAAUACAUUAGUAUCUUAAUAGAGAAAAGAUUAAAAAAUUAAAAAUUAUUAUUAUUAUUUAAUUAUAUAAAUAAAAUAUUUUAAAAUACAUUAGUAUCUUAAUAGAGAAAAGAUUGUUUGUUUGAUUUUCUAAAGUAACAGAGUCGGAUGAGAUAGUUGAUUAAUUUGACGGUUUGAAUAAUAUAAUCUUCUUGAUAAAUAAUCAUCAACCCAUCAUGCAUGUUUUAUAUUUAUUGAUAGAAACUUUGAUGGAUUGAUUUGUUGGUGCCGCCUCAACAUAGAGAAAAGAAAAAGAACAAGUUAUUUCAAUCUAUUACACUUUAGAGAUUAAAAAAAACAUUUUUUAAAGCAGUGAUAAAAUUGAUAAUAAUAAGUUGUUAAUAUGUUUGGCAAAAAGAGUGUCGAUUAACUAUUUUUUGCUAUAGUAUUGAAAUAUCUUUAGAUUUUUUAACCCCCAAAAAAGGUUUAAAACUACCUCUGUAAAGAAAAGGAGUUUAUUUUUAGAAAAUAUAUCUCGAGAAAUAAAGUAAGAUAAAGGAUAAAAUCGUGAAAGAAAAAUGUUGAUAAGCAAACAAAAAAAUCAAAGUUAGGAAUGACCAAUUUAUUGAAUAUAACUAAAUUGUCUUAAAUAAGCAACUUAGCUUAUAAAUAUAUAUAUAAAAUUAUUUUUAUAUCAGUUUGAUCAAUUAAUAAUAAAUUGAUUAUGCAUGAAAUAAUAGGAAGUGUUCUAAUUAAAAAGAAUACAAGGAAAAAGGUGCAGUAUUGUGUACGAUCGACCAAACAUACAUUCGUUAUUAAUUAUUAUUAAGCUAAUUAGACAACGCUAUCUUAUUAAUUUAUUAUAGAGCUGUCGAUAUUAGUUUAGAUAAUUAAAUUAUAUAAAAUUCAUUUAAUUCAAUCAAAGCUUGACUUGUUAAAUGUUAGGUUUAUGAUAUGAUUAAUUAUAUAUAUAAUUCACUAUGAUUUUACGCGACUUGUUAAUCAAGACCUUAUUUAACAUAUUGAUUAAGUUAUUAGUUAUAUAACUAAUAAAAAUAUAUUUUAAAUAAUAAAUGGUUAUUGAGAGAAAACUUCCAUGCAAUUAUCAUAAUAAGAAACUUCUUAAGAAAUUGUCUCUAAUUAGAUAAUUGGAUGGUGACUCUUUUGUUUAAAAAAAAUUGAAUCAAUCAAGAUUUUAUUGCUAUUAAUUGUGAACUACAAUUUGUAGAAGGGGAGCAUAAACCUAGAUAUUAACUAUGCACAACAUGAGUGUGCAAGAUUAUUUUGUUUAUUUAUUUUGAUUCAAUUCAGUAUCCGAUAUUCAUAUUAGAUUCUCAAUCAAAUUUGUAUUUACAUUAAAAAAAUUCAGUGCUCCUUAACAGAGGCAACAACUCUGUACUCAGGAGAACUCGAAUUCGAGACCUCUAAACAAGAAUAAAGAAGUAUUUGUUAUUCCAUAACAAUUUUUAUUGAUAAAAGAAACUCGUAGUAUCAUGAAAAGAUAAUAGAUUAUCUAGGCCUAAUGGAAAAUUCAGUCAAGCUUUAGAGGGAAAAUUAUGGCAUAGCAAAGUUACAAACUUUAUAGUAUGAUUAACUUAAUUACAAGACCGUUAAAUUGAAUGCAACCCCAAUAACUUUUCUUUCAAUAAAUAUUUGGCCUUUGUGAGCUUUAUUUGAACUCUCUCUUCCUUCAUAAACUUGACCAUCAGCAAUAUUUUCCUUUCCUCUUUUAUUUUAUUGCUCACUCGAUAGUCAGCUUUUAAGAUUGACUUGAUGUUUCGAUAAGCGAAAGGUGUAAAUCCAGAUUAUGCUCAAGUAUCUAAGUGAUAUAUGAAUUGCAAACUUUUUGCAUAUGCAUUUGAGAAGAAAAUAAUUAUCACAAGAAAAUAAAUAAUUAGCAUGCGGUAAAUUAUUAACGUAGUUAAAUAAUGUUAUAGUCUUAUAAAUUAAAAUAAAGACAAGGCAACAAUUGUCACUAAUUAUUUGUAUUGUUAGCAACAAAAACUAAGAGAACAUAAAUAAUAUAUACUUAAUGGCUCAAUUUUACACCAUUUCACUAUAAAUAACUUUAUGUCGCUAAUUUGAUUACAUAUUUUUGUGACGAAACUUAUUUUGUAUCCAAACUUAAACGAAUUUAAAGAUAAAUAUGAUUUAUCAUAAAUAUUCAGUAAAAACAGGGAGAAAAUUUAUCAUCAUCAAUAUCCUCAAUUUCGUCGCUAAAAUUACCUUACAAUUUGAUUUAAUUAUAAAUUGAAAAUCAAAUUUAAAAAUGAUUAAAUUUGUGAUGUUGGUGCAAAAUGCACGUAUCAAAUUAAACCCACCUUUAGGUCUAAGAAAAUGGUGAGCACAUCUUAACCAUUAUUCUUCAACUCAUUUCAUCUCUUCCUCAAUUAAUUAUGCAAAUAAUAAAAAUAUUUCUUUUUCCAUUCAAUGUCUGUGUUUUAUAUUGAAGUUCCAAUUAACUCUAGAUUAGAAACCGGAGGCGAGGGCACAUUUAAAGGUGAUGCUUCCUAUACGACUCAUGUAGUAAAAAAAAUUAUAAAAAAAACCACCACAAUAAUUAUAUACGCUUCAAAAAAAAGAAGAGAAUAGAAUAGCAUCCUAUUCAUAGAGAAAACUAUACUUGAUAGUUAACUGGUAGCAAAACUUUUGCACAAGAUUAAUUAUAUUUGUAUAGUUGAUUUAUUCAAGGUUUUAAUUAGAAGAGGUCUAGGAUUCUAUUUAUUUUUAUCCAUAUUUUUUAAACAAUAAAUUUGCUACAAAAGGAUGUCUGUGACAAAUCAUGUCUCCUAAAUAUAAGCACUUGUGUGAAGGUUAGUUGAGUGUAAAGUUGAGGCAUCCACGCAUUUUUUUUUUCAAAGGUUCUGUAAAAAGAAAACAAGAUUUUGUAGCUCUUUGAAUCAUUCUGUCACAAACAGUAUAGUUCCCUUAAUAGUUUAUACAUUUGCUUAGGAUGAUGCCUCUAUAUAUCUAUCAAAUUAAAUAUACAAACUAAAGUCAAAAUUGAGCCAACAACAUGUCAAGACUAAAUAAACAUAUGCAUAACUCUACCAUAUUACCUACAUUUGUAUAAAUUUUGGUAAGGGUAAUUUCUAAAUGAAGUCUAUAUAAAGGGGUUUGGGUGAAGCUUAAGAGGACAAAAACUUCUCUCCUUUGUUUCAAAUAUAGGGAAAAUGGCCUCUCUAGUUGCAACUCUUUUAGUGGUUUUAGUGUCACUUAGCUUACCAUCCGAAAGUUCAGCUAAUUAUCAAUACACAUCUCCCCCACCACCAAAGGAGUCAUACCACCCUUCACCAACACCUUAUCAUCCCGUACCACUUUACAAGUCUCCACCACUGCCAACUCCAGUUUACAAUUUUCCACCACCACCCAGAGAGACGUACUACCCUCCACACACUCCAGUGUACAUGCCGUCACCACCCUCGACACAAAUUUACAAGUCGCCACCACCACCCAAGGAGCCAUAUUACCCUCCACACACCCCAACCUACAAGUCGCCACCUCCACCAACUCCUAUUUACAAGUCUCCACCGCCGCCAACUCCCUUUUACAAUUCUCCACCACCACCCAAGGAGCCAUACUACACUUCGCCACCUCCACCAACUCCUACUUACAAGUACCCACCGCCACCAACUCCGGUUUACAAUUCUCCACCACCACCUAAGGAGCCAUACUACCCUCCACACACCCCAACCUACAAGUCGCCACCUCCACCAACUCCUGCUUACAAGUCUCUACCGCCGCCAAUUCCAGUUCACAAUUCUCCACCAUCACCCAAGGAGCCAUACUACCCUCCACACACCCCAACCUACAAGUCGCCACCUCCACCAACUCCUGCUUACAAGUCUCUACCGCUGCCAAUUCCAGUUCACAAUUCUCCACCAUCACCCAAGGAGCCAUACAACCCUCCACACACCCCAACCUACAAGUCGCCACCUCCACCAACUCUUGCUUACAAGUCUCCACCGCCACCAACUCCGAUUUACAAUUCUCCACCACCACCCAAGGAGCCAUACUACCCUCCACAUACCCCAACCUACAAGUCGCCACCUCCACCAACUCCCAUUUACAAGUCGCCACCGUCACCAACUCCGGUUUACGAUUCUCCACCACCACCCAAGGAGCUAUACUACCCUCCACACACCUCAACCUACAAGUCGCCACCACCACCGAAUGAGCCAUACUACCCUCCACACACACCAACAUACAAGUCGCCACCUCCACCAAUUCCAAUCUACAAGUCACCACCUCUUCCAACUCCUAUUUACAAGUCGCCACCACCACCCAAGGAGCCAUACUACCCUCCACAUACUCCACUUUCACCGUCUUCAGUUUAUAAGUCUCCACCUCCACCAACUCAUGUUUACAAGUCGCCGCCACCACCUAUAGAGCCAUACUACCCUCCACACACCCCAAUCUAUAAGUCGCCACCUCCACCGAUUCCUGUUUACAAUUCACCACCUCCACUAACUCCAGUUUAUAAGUCACCACCACCACCCAAAGAGCCUCACUACCCUCCACACACCCCAGUGUAUAAGUCACCACCACCACCCAAGGAGCCAUACUAUUCUCCACAAAAUCCAGUCUACAAGUCGCCACCUCCACCAACUCCCAGUUACAAGUCGCCAACACCACCCAAGGAGCCAUAUUAUCCUCCACAUACCCCAACUUACAAGUCACCACCUCCACCAACUCCAGUAUACAAGUCGCCGCCACCACCCAAGGAGCCAUACUACCCUCCACACACCCCGACCUACAAGUCGCCACCACCACCGAAGGAGUCAUACUAUCCUCCACACACCCCAACCUACAAGUCACCACCUCCACCAACUCCUGUUUCCAGCUCUCCACCACCACCAACUCCAGUCUACAAGUUUCCACCACCAACAGAUUAUGUUUACACCUCUCCCCCUCCUCCCUACUAUUACUAAGAAGAGAUUUCAUUAUAUCUAAGGUAAUUAAACCAAACUAAAACUUUUAAUUAUGAUAUGUCUAUAGAAGUUGCACAAUUUCUUCGUUCGAAUAAUUAAUAUAGACCUGUAUACUGUCUACAUCUUAUUUGGUUUAGGUUCUAUUAUAUGUUCUCAUUCACAAUACUAAUUAUAUUCUUAUGCAGGAAAGAUGCAGAAUGUUGAGCUAAAAGAAAAUAAGCCCACACAGGAGGCAAAGUUUUUUUGUAGCUUCAUUUUGUAUAAGUUAUUGUUUGUACCCUAUAUUAUAUUUAUAUUUUACUUCUAUUUAUUUGUGUAAUAUGUUUGUUCGAUCUCCUUGCAACAUGCAGCCAUUAUGAGAUGUAUAAAAUAUGUUAUUACUAUAUAUACUGUCUUUUUUCUUAUUUUUGUCAUCCCUUAUAUUGAGUUAUAUUUAUAAGUUGAGCCUCUUAUCAAUUACAUUAAAUCAGUUGCUAUAAAAAAUGUGGUUUUUCACCACCAAUAAGUUCAACGAUAAGCUACAAUCAACUGGGAAUAUUAGUAGCUUCAAUAGAAAAUGUUAAUAGCUCCGUUGAUUAGUUAUUUGAACUUUUUAUCUUUAUUACACGUCGCAAUAACAAUCAAUGUAAAUAUUAUAUCUAACCUCUGGACUUAUGCCCACAUAAUUCCUCAAUGCACCCACACAAAAUAUUGAAAUUAAAUAUUAUUACUUGCCUAUUUCUCUUAUCUUGAUUAUUAGUUUUCAGGGAUGAAAGUUUAAUUGUUACACCUUUCACUUUUUUAAAAAAAAAAAAAAGGAAUGGACAACCAACUGAUUUCGUAUCUGAUUGUAGUUGUUGAAGGCAUAUUGUAAUAAUUAAAUUUUCGUUUUUGAAAAAUAAUAAUCAAAAAAUAGAAAAUAUCAAUAAAUAAUAAUAUUUAAUUUUAUUUAUUUGUGCACGAUUUAACAAUCAUUAGAGAUUUCACACUAAAAUGUUUAAUUUUUUUGUUUUUUCUUUUUUUCUCUUCAUGACUAUCAACUCAAAAGUUUUGCUUUUUACCUGAAUUGAUGGAAUACUUGUUGAAAGUUUACCACGAAUGCAUAAUCAAUUUUUAAUCACAUUCGAGGAGGCAUAAAACGACUCACAACUUGAAGGCAAAAAAGAGUUGUAUGCAGAAGACUGCAAAUCAUUAUUGAAUAUUUUUUUAUAUAGGCAUCAGCUAGGGUUUGAAAUAUUUGAUCUAAUCGACUUUAGGUUUGAGAAUAUGAGUUGUGUUGGAUUAGACUUGUAAAUUUAAUAAUGGACUAACCUAAAUUUAAUCGAAAAAUUACCUAACUACAUAUAUAUUUUUUUAUCCUAUUUUCUAUUAUUUCAUAUAAUUUAUAAAAAUUACAAAAAUCUUUUUUUUCUCUCAAAUUCGCUCCUUUCAAGAUUCAUAACUUUAAAUCUUCCAACUCACAAUUUCUCCUUUUUCUCAGGCCUAUAAUCGCUCUACUAUAUUACUAGUUACCUUCAUCUCCUAUAUUUUGAAUUUUAGAUAUUUUUCUCUCUCCCGUUUAUAAUUUAAUUGAGUAUGUAUCAUAUGUUUGUUAUGUAUGUGAAGUACUAUUUUAUAACUAAAUCAUUGUUUAUCAUAUUCAUAAGUUUUUUUUAUAUGAUACAUAGCUAUGUCAAAUUAUACCGGCAUGAUACAUAAAUACUAAUUUAUGCUACAUGUAACGAUCUCAAAUCAAACAACUUAUGAGCAACAAUUACAUGUUAAAUGUAUCCCGUAACAAUACGAUACUUAUUAAUUUAAACGAGAUAAAUAAAUAGUAAUGUAUCAUGUAUUAGUUUUUAGAUGUGAUACAUAAAUUCGAAUUUGGACUACAUGUAUUAAUUACAUAGAAACUACCACGCGGUGAUGUAUCCAUCACAAAUGUAACAUCUUAUGGGCAACAAUUACUUAUUUAAUGUAUCUACUAUAAAUACAAUACUAAUCAAUUGAGACGAGAUACACAAAUAGUAAUGUAUCAUGCAAAAAAAUUUUUUACUUGAUAUGUGAAUUCGAAUUUAUACUAAAUGUAUCAAUUACAUAGCAACUACCACAUUGUAAUGUAUCGAUCUCGAAUUCAACAUCUUAUGGACUAUAAUUAUUUAUUUAGUGUAUUUAGUAUAAAUACAAUACUUAUCAAUUUAAACAAGAUACAUAAAAGUAAAAUGCUAAGUAGACAAGAUAUUCAUGAUAAUAUUCUCAAUUUUUUUGAGAUUCUUCAAUAAACUAGGAGAAGAAUUCUGAAUCUCAAAAUUUACAACAAUUUUGAAUCAAAAUUAAAAAGAUCUUUGAUGAACUGGAGAACAAAGAAUCUUAAUCUCAAAAUUUUUAACAAUCUUGAAUCAAAACUGAAAGGAAUAUCUUUGAUGAUCUUGAAGAUUCAAAAGAAAAUUGUUUAUCCAACAACAAUUUUGUCACUUUUGUAUCAUUCAUAAUUCACUUCGCUUACCCAAAAUUUCGACAAAAGUUUUUGGAUCAAAUGUGAAAGGUUUCUUUGUUGAACGGGGGGAUCAACUAGAAAUUUUAAAUUUCUUCGUUCUGUAUGGAUUUGAUUCUGUAUGAUUGAGAGUAAAAAGAAAUAUAAGCGUAAUUUAUGGAAUUUAAUUAGUUUUCAGAUUUUAUUUUCUUUUUAGCGCAACAGAAAGAUUCUUUUUGUAUUAAAAUUAGUGUAUCUAGAUGGUGGUGACUUAUGUAUUUGUUGAAGGAAGCUGAUGGAACAGGUUUGGUAGUAUAUGACUUUUUUCCUAUAUAAGGAUGAUGUAACUCAAUCAUUCAUUCAUCAAUAUAAUCCUUGAUUCUUCACAUACAUAUCUGUGAGAAUUCUACAUCCGAAAGGUACAAAUUUUAACGGAUCAUUUUAUUAGAAAAAAAUAGAGAUAAAAUAUAAUGUAUUCUUUACAUUACGAAGUUUACGUAAGUUAAUCAAAUUUGAUUAAACUUCCCUUAAAUCAUAAAAGUUUAACUUAAUAUUAUUCCAACUUUAUUAUAGAUAUAUAUAAUUGGAAAAAAAAACAAACAAAAUAGAACAUAAGAUCUCGAUCGCUGGACAAAUGUUUGUCUAUAAUAAAUAAAUAUGUCGGUAAUAAUUAUUGACUAGGUCAAUGUAGCUAAGGUUUGUACUUGUUUAUACUUACAUCCUAUCUCUUGGGACGAUUAAAAAAAUAUUAGUUUAGCUUAUUUAAUAAUGGAAUCUUAUAUGGAGUUUACUAAUUUUAUCUUUGUCGGUGAUUAAGUUAUACAAAUGAUUAAUUAUUUUUCUAAUUAAAAAGUCAAAAGUCAUUAUUGGAUGAACCAAGAAUCUUCCAUGUAUUUGAAUACUUUUUCUGUCUCCCUUAAAUCGUGAUGGCUUUUUUGUAAGUUAAAUAAUAAAAAAUUUUAUUAAUGUUUUGUUGAUAUAAGAAAUUAUAAAAUAAGUAUUUUUGUAUAAUAUAUUUAAAUUUUUAAUUUAAAUUUAAAUUUUAAAAAUUAGUUAUAUUAACUGUUAAAAAACCGUACAACGACUAAAACGGGACGGCUUGUUCUCUUCUUUCUUUUAUUAUAAAUAAAAAUAAAAAUUUAACUAAUGUGCAAUCAAUAAUGUUAAUUAUUUAUUCAAAGUUUAAAUUAAACACAUAAAAGUGAAAAGUAUAAAGCCUUCAACCGAUUCGAUUCAUUUAAUUAUGUUUCUUAAGAUAUUCCAUAUUUUCAAAUUUUAAAGAGAACUAUAAAUUCCUACAUUUAAAACUACAUACAUUAUUAAAAUGUGCCUAUAUAACACGCAUUUAAAUUAGUUGUGCUCAAAUAUAGAUAUCAAACAAGGAAUAAAACAUAAAGUGAAUUACUUAAACUAUAAUUAUAUAUUAAGUAAUUAAAUCAAAUCGUGUAAUUUAAUUAAUUAUACUACCAAAAUAUUAACUUCAACGAUAUGAAGUAACGCAAUGUACCUUUAAAGUUUCACAAAAUUUAAUUAGGUUGUAAGGUUUGAUUCUUGAAAUUUAGAAAUUAUUUUCAAGUGAUUUGAGUACAUUGAAAGUACCUAAGUCAAUAAAGUCAAAAAUAAAUUAAUUUUUACUUUGUAUCGUGACCUGUAUUCUACAUCUUGUGUGUUCCCACGAUAAUAAACUAAGAUACCAAAAAUUUCAUAGAUAUUAUAUUUAAUCAUAUAAAUUUUUUCAAUAUUGAGCUACAUAAUCCGUUGAAUUUUUUGCCCUCUAUUCCCACCUAAAACUAAAAAGAAAGAACAACAUUAAUUGCUUUAUUUAGUAAUGAAAGUGGGUCAUUAUAUAUAUAUAUAUAUAUAUAUAUAUAUAUAUAUAUAUAUAUAUAUAUAUAUAUAUAUAUAUAUUAUUUUAUUUUAUUUUAUUUUAUUUUUUUGACAACUAGGGAAACCUGAGCCGCUAUCCUAUAAAAUAGCUCGCAAAUCACAUAGGAGAGGUAACCUGCACUAGGCAAGCCUGGUGCAACGAGCUUGACCCAGAAGGCAAAUCUCUUGCUUUCGCUGGCAAGGGGUUUCAAACUUGAGACCUCCAAUAUGGAAGUUUCAAGCUCAAACCAUUGGGCCACCCCGAAGGGUUAUAUAUAUAUAACUUUUAGUAAUAUUAGAUAUUGACAUUAAUAAAGAGUGUUAAAGUCUUUAUCGGUAUCAGUUAAGUGUCAUUAGAACCAAUGUUGCUAAAGGCUUUAGGGACACAUACAAAGAAAGUUAUUGCCGCUAAAAACACUUAUUUGGCGACGUUUGAAAAUUAAUUGCCAAUAAUGAUUAUUUUUAAUAUAGUGUAUAUAUGUAUUAUUGUUUUAAAUCUCUAUACUAUUUAAGCACUAAAGGUAAUUAAAGGUUAGUUUAUCAAUCAAAAUCAAAAAAAAAUAAAUUGUUACUCCCUUAGUUCGUUUCAUAGUAGUUGAUCAUCUUACUAAAAAUAAUUGUUACACAUUAAUUGUCCAUCUUAUUAAAUCAAGAAAUCAAUAAUUAAUUUUUUCCUAUAUUAUCUAUUCAGAUAAUUCUUUUGAAAGUAUUAACAUUUGUUUGUAAAAUGUAAAAGAAGUUUUCAAGGGGUGAAUUAAUAAAAUUAUCUAGCUAGUUAAUAAAAAUGAUGGGUGAAAUAAUAUUAUCUAGCUACUUAAUAAAAAUAAUCAACUAAUAUGAGACACAUAAAAAUAGAAUUCUUCAAAUAUUUUGUAACAAAAAAAAAAAGAAAAAAGGCAGUGUACACUGAUUUUUGUAACUAAAAAUCGUGCGAAGUUGAGGGAUGCACGCAUUUUUUUCAAAGAUUUUGUAUGUAUGUAAUGUAAAAGCUUGGAAGAAAAAGAAGACUUUGUAGCUCUUUGAAUUAUUGCAUCACAAGAUGUAAAGAAAAUUGUAUGGUUGUCUUAAUAGUUUAUACAUUUUUGCUUAGCUUGCACCCUCUAUCCAAUAAAUAAAGUCAAAUUGAGCCAACAACAUGACAAAACCAAUUAUAAAAAUGAAUAAAAACUUUACCUACAUUUAUGUAAAUCUUGGUAAGGGUAAUUGUCGAAAUGAAAGCUAUAUAAAGGGGUUUGAGUGAAACUUAAAGAGGACACCAACUUCUCUUCUUUGGUUUCAAAUAUGGGGAAAAUGGCCUCUCUAGUUGCUACUCUUUUAGUGGUUUUAGUGUCACUUAGCUUUGCUUCCGAAAGCUCAGCAAACUAUCAAUACUCAUCUCCUCCACCACCAAAGAAGCCAUACCACCCUUCACCAACACCUUAUCAUCUCGCACCAGUUUACAGAUCACCACCACCACCAACUCCACUUUACAAGUCACCACCACCACCUAAGGAGCCACACUAUCCUCCACACACCCCGGUUUACAAGUCGCCACCUCCUCCAGCUCCAAUUUACAAGUCACCACCACCACCGGUGAAGCCAUACCAUCCAGCACCAGUUUAUAAGUCACCACCACCCCCUACGCCUGUUUACAAGUCACCACCACCACCAGUGAAGCCACACCAUCCUGCACCAGUAUACAAGUCUCCACCACCACCAACUCCAGUUUAUAAGUCACCACCUCCUCCAACACCCGUUUACAAGUCACCACCACCACCAGUGAAGCCAUACCAUCCUGCACCAGUAUACAAGUCACCACCACCUCCAACACCCAUUUACAAGUCACCACCACCACCAGUGAAGCCAUACCAUCCUGCACCAGUAUACAAGUCACCACCACCUCCAACACCCGUUUACAUGUCACCACCACCACCAGUGAAGCCAUACCAUCCUGCACCAGUAUACAAGUCACCACCACCUCUAACACCCGUUUACAAGUCACCACCACCACCAGUGAAGCCAUACCAUCCUGCACCAGUAUACAAAUCUCCACCACCACCAACUCCAAUUUACAAGUCACCUCCACCACCAGUGAAGCCAUACCAUCCUGCACCAGUAUACAAGUCUCCACCACCACCAACUCCAGUUUAUAAGUCACCACCACCACCGGUGAAGCCAUACCAUCCUACACCUGUGUACAAGUCUCCACCACCACCAACUCCUGUUUACAUGUCCCCACCACCACCAGUGAAGCCAUACCAUCCUACACCUGUGUACAAUUCUCCACCACCACCAACUCCCGUUUACAUGUCCCCACCACCACCAGUGAAGCCAUAUCAUCCUACACCUGUGUACAAAUCUCCACCACCACCAACUCUCGUUUACAAAUCACCACCACCACCCGUGAAGCCAUACCAUCCUUCACCAACACCACACCAUCCUACACCAGUAUACAAGUC
rnacentral:lncRNA from 1 species